rnacentral:misc_RNA from 1 species
AAGUCGUAACAAGGUUUCCGUAGGUGAACCUGCGGAAGGAUCAUUAAUAAUAUUCACUUCAUGUGGAUUUUAAUCCAUACCCACCUUGUGUGCACUGUAAACGUUUGCUUUGGUAGGUUUCAGCUGGAAUCACAUUCAGUUGACCCAGGCACCGUGACAGACUCUUUUGCAACAAAAGGGUUUGGAACUCUUCUUGGGCGGCCUACCAGAGUUUUCUUUCAAACAAACCCAUGUAAAUUAUUGACUGAACCUUUGCAAAAGCAAAAUUUAAAUACAACUUUCAACAACGGAUCUCUUGGCUCUC